CAAUCCGUAAAUGGUAUAUGGACUCGGGAGUCGUCAGGUGAGUUAAGUGCACGACGUCCACUCUAUCUUCUCCUCUUUCUAGAGAUUUCUCAUACAAUGUAUCCGAGGUUUCAUCCAUUGUGCCGUAGAUGUAGUCAUACAAGGGCAUGAAGAGGGAGUAGUUAGUUCGGAAUUGGGUGUGGUGCAGCGAGUGGAAUCUGCAACUCUCAUUAUGAUCAUUUUACCAUCCAAAAGAAGGAUAUUACAACAAUAAGGGUGUUUUAUCACAUUCCGCUCGUUAUAGAUAUACGGAAAACACAAAGCUGUGUUAAUAACUCUACACUUUAGAAGAGCCAUAUACCCUAAUGAAUUUGAUAUUUACUUUUCUAAGGCUGUUUGGUUAAAUAGGCUCUAAAUACAUCAUAUUGUGGAAAAUUGGAUUAUGUGCAUAUAGAUUAUAUUGUAUUUUUAUGUGGUCCAUGUAUUCGGUAGUUAACAACAAAAAAAAAGGGUACAAGUAUGUCUGGUCACCUUUUUGUACAUGAAAGGAGAAUGUACGUAUACAUGCAAAUGCAAGUGAAAUUUUUAUUUUUGAGAAAAGAAAAUGCAAGUGAUGCGGAUAAAAAUUAAUAAUAAUAAUUAAAAUAGUUGUUUGUAUUUUUUUAUGUAAAGAAUGGUUUCCGGUUAAUGCAUAGGUAAGUCAAAAUUGUUUUGAAAAAAAACUGGUACUAAAUUUUGACAUAUAUAUAGCCGACAGAAAUAAAUGUAUAUAUAUAUGGUACGAAAGUGCAAGGACUUACGAGGGAGUGUAGCAGAGGUACUUGAGUGGAGGAAAGAGGUGGAAAAGGCGCUUAGGGACGAGCUCGAAGUUGCAGUGUCCCAUGUUGUUCAUGAAGUCUAUGUAGAUUACAUAUCCGGAGAACGACGCUAUGGAUGCCGUUUUCGUUAACAACGUUGUCAACAAUGGUAUGGCGAAAAGAAUGAAGUAUGCUAUAUGCUCCGCGAAUGGAUGUAUCACCGCUGAAU
rnacentral:lncRNA from 1 species